GGGCGGGACACGCAAUCUUGUUCAGCUGAACAAGGGAAUCAGGUGAGAAUCCUGAACACGUUUUGAAUUGCCGCCCGCGCCCUCUGGAGCGGCCCGGUUUCAAUUCAGUAGCUGUAAGCAUGGAGCGUAUCCUUUUUCUGCGAAAGCAGGUCACUGGCUGCUGUAAUGGCUCGACCGGGAAGGCGGAGGGUGCGCGCCGGCGCGAAAAGCGCCUGAACAUGCAAGUCAGAAGACCUACAAGAAAGUAUGAUCUCGC
rnacentral:ncRNA from 2 species